rnacentral:rRNA from 1 species
CUCAGUUCGGAUUGGAGUCUGCAACCCGACUCCAUGAAGCUGGAUUCGCUAGUAAUCGCGCAUCAGCCACGGCGCGGUGAAUACGUUCCCGGGCCUUGUACACACCGCCCGUCAAGCCAUGGGAGCCGGGGGUGCCUGAAGGCCGUGACCGCGAGGAGCGGCCUAGGGUAAAACUGGUGACUGGGGCUAAGUCGUAACAAGGUAGC